rnacentral:rRNA from 1 species
AUUGUGCCAGCCGCCGCGCGGUAAUACUCGCGGUCCAAGUCGCAGCCAUUUUUAUUGGGUCUAAAAUAUCCGUAGCUUGCUUCGUAAGUCCCUUGUGAAAUUUUAUGCCUUAAACAUAAAGCGUGCAAGGGGUACUGCAGAGCUAGAGACUGGGAGACGUGAGAAGUACGUUUAAAGUAGCGGUAAAAUGUGUUAAUCUUAAACGGACUAACGAGAGCGAAGGCCUCUCACGAGAACAGUUCUGACAGUCAGGGAUGAAGGCUAGGGGCGCAAAACGGAUUAGAUACCCGUGUAGUCCUAGCAGUAAACACUGCACACUAAACAUCAGUGCCUCCUCGAGAGGCGUUGGUGCUGUAGGGAAGCCGAAGAGUGUGCUACCUGGGAAGUAUAGUCGCAAGGCCGAAACUUAAAGGAAUUGGCGGGGAGACACUACAACGGGUGACGCGUGCGGUUCAAUUAGAUUCUACACCGUGAACCUCACCGGGAGCGACAGCAGGAUGAAGGUCAGUCUGAAGGGCUUACCUGACACGCUGAGAGGAGUUGCAUGGCCGACGUCAGCCUGUGCCGUGAGGUAACCUGUUAAAUCAGGUAACAGGCAAGACCCACAUGUAUAUUUGCAUUCAAUAUACAGAUUGCCUUGGUAACGAGGAUGAAAGUGUGGGCUACGUUAGGUGAGUACAGCCUGAAUCCCCCGGGCAACACGCGCGCGUCAAUGGUGAAUACAACGGGAUGCAACACCGAAAGGUGAAGCCCAUCUCUUAAAGUUCAUCUCAGUCCAGAUCGAGGUUUGUAACUCAGCCUCGUGACGCUGGGAUCCGUAGUAAUCGUUUGUUAUCAGCGAACGGUGAAUACGUCACUGUCUCUUGCACACACCGCCCGUCAAAU